CGAACUCCUGACCUUAGGUGAUCUGCCUGCCUCGGCUUCCCAAAGUGUUAGGAUUACAGGCGUCAGCCACUGUGCCUGGCCCAGAUGUCUCUAAUUCUAACAUGAGAUGUAUUGCAGGAUCAUAGCAGAGUGAGUUGCUGAUGUAUCCAGAAGGAAACGAGCAUGGAACACUCACGACAGCUGUCCUGAGAAGUGUGUGUGUGCUGUGCUUGAAUAUCUCACUGCUCAUUUAUACACAGGCUUUCUGGUGACUGAGUUAACAGUAUCUGUUUCAUAAAUAAUGUAGCCCUCUUUCUUUCUUUCUCUCUCUCUCUUUUUUUUUUUUUUUUUUUUUUUUUUUUUUUGAGACAGGGUCUUGCUCUGCUACCCAGGCUGGAGUGCAAUGGUGCAGUCUCAGCUCACUGCAACUUCACCAUGCCUGGCUAAUUUUUUCUUUUUUUUUUUUUUGAGACGGAGUUUCGCUGUUUUUGCCCAGGCUGGAGUGCAAUGGCACAAUCUCGGCUCACCACAAUCUUUGCCUUUUGGGUUCAAGGGAUUCUCCUGCCUCAGCCUCCCGAGUAGCUGGGAUUACAGGCAUGUGCCACCACACCCGGCUAAUGUUGUAGUUUUAGUAGAGACGGGGUUUCCCUAUGUUGGUUAGGCUGGUCUCAAACUCCUGACCUCAGGUGAUCUACCCGCCUCGGCCUCUCAAAGUGCUGGGAUCACAGGCGUGAGCCAUCACUCCUGGCCUAAUUUUUGUAUUUUUAGUAGAGAGAGGGUUUCACUCUGUUGGCCAGGCUGGUCUCGAAUUCCUGACCUCAAGUUAUCUGCCUGCCUUGGCCUCCCAAACUGUUGGAAUUACAGGCAUGAACCACCAUGCCUGGCCAGCUCUAUUUCUUUAAGCCUACAUGUUUUGCACUUGUUAAAAGUAUUUGAACAUACAAUUACUCAGCUUCCCUUGUUUACGCGUGAAUUUUGUAGAAUCUUAAAUAUUUUUUCCAAUCUAAGCUUUAUUUUAUCCCGUUUCUUCUAUAUUUGUAUAACUUUAGGCGGCUAUCUUCAUUGAAAGUUUUUUCUCAAAAGCCUUAAGAUAGAACGUAGUUCUUGGCAGCAAUUUGAAAGUUAUUUGAGGAGAAGGGGAGACUUACAAUGAUGAUUCAAAUGAAGGAAACUAAAAAGUAAUGAAGCAAGGCAGAGGAAAAAGCAGUACUCACUUGAGCACAUCCCAAAAGAAUAACAUUUCAAAUGUAACUAGAAAAAAGUAUGCUGAAGUUCGCAAUACAGAAAUAAUUAUUAAUAAGAUAGCUUUAAAGCCCUGCUCAGCUUUUGAAUGUUGGGAAUUGACCCAGAGGUGGCUGUAACCUAAGAUGGUUCCUUCAGUAAUGACCAUUUUUUCUUUUUCAAGAUGAUGAUUAUUCCCCACCUUCUAAGAGACAAAGACCAACGAGCCACCACAGCCACCAGUCCCAGAACCUGCCAAUGCUGGGGAACGGAAAAUGAGGGAGUUCAACUCUGGCCCUCACAAUCCAGUGGAGGAGACGAAACUCAUCUGCCUCUGUCCCUCUGGGCACGCCUCAUGCCAGGUGCAUCUGUGGACAGGGGCCAUGCCCCUGGGCUUCCAAAGUUGGAGAGAGCUGCCAGGCUCAGGUCUGAAGGCCAGAAUUCUACAGUAAGUCCUACUGAGUCAAGGUGGGAGCAGGGUCGGUAGCUUCCGAGGCUCUGCGGGAGAAUCCGUUUCCUGGCCGUAGAGGUGGCCUGCACUCCGCAGCUUGUGCUGCCCGUCUCGAAUGACUGGAGUUUCCUGCUUCUGUCACUACACCUCCCACCCUCUCCAUCACCUGCUCUGCUCUUACAAGGAUCCGAAGAAAUGGAAUCAUCGUAUCGCUGAUCUACGUAAACAAACUGAAGAAUUGUCUGAAAGAAAAUAUGACAUGAACUUAUGAAUUCAACAGGUGAAGAUUUACAACUUGAUAAAUCAACUUUGUCAGCUCGAGCUGUAAAAGCCAAAGGUCCGGUGAUGAUCCCAUACCCUUUUUUCCAGUCUCAUGUUGAAGAUUUUUAUGUAGAAGGCCUUCCCAAAGGAAUUUUUUUUUUUUUUUUUUUUUUGAGAUGGAGUUUUCACUCUUAUCGCCCAGGCUGGGGUGCAAUGGCGCAACCUUGCUGGUCACUGCAACCUCUGCCUCCUGGGUUCAAGAAAUUCUCCUGCCUUAGCCUCCCAAGUCACUGGGAUUACAGGUGCCCACCACCAUACCAGGCUAAUUUUUGUAUUUUUAGUGGAGAUGCGGUUUCACCAUGUUGGCCGGGCCAGUCUCGAACUCCUGACGUCAAGUGAUCUUCCCGCCUCGACUCCUGAUAUCAAGUGAUCUUCCCGCCUCGGCCUCCCAGAGUGCUGAGAUUACAGACGUGAACCCAUGCCUGGCCAGGAAUUUUGUUUUUUAGGAAGGCUUUCUACUAAUGGAAUUCCUGGCCUUGAGAGGAUGUUACUUUAGAAGGAAAGGAUUUUUUUGUUAUUAAAAGAGCCACCUAAGCUGAAGAUUCCCUUGAGAACAAGUACUGUCCCUAGUUUCCCAGUGCUGGAAUAUAGAAAAUGGAUGGACAACUGGACCUACCAUGAAAGACUUCUGAAUCCAGGAAGAGAAACUGACUGGGCAACAUGUUAUUCAGAUGGGGUCUUCUUAUGUUGCCCAGGUUGGUCUCAAAUUCCUAGGCUCAAGUGAUUCCGCCCACCUCUGCCUCCCAAAGUGCUGGGAUUACGGGCAUGAGCCAGUGCAUCUGGCCACCUUAUUUUCUAUUACUGGCUCAAUGUAAUGGCUCCAUCUCAGGAACAGCCAAUGAAAGAGAUGCACAGGACAAGGCUGAUCUCUAACUCUUGGCCUCAAGCAAUCCUUCCUCUUUGGCCUCCCAAAAUGUUGGGAUUACAGAUGGGAGCCCCCAUACCCACCAAUCACAAGGAUCUUUAUAAGAGAAUGAGGUAGGAGAGUCAGAAUUAGAGAAAGUGAUGUGGUAAUGGAAGAAGAGGUCAGAGAGGGAGAUUUGAAGAUGCUGCACUUCUGGCCUUGAAUAUGGAGUCACGAGGUAAGUCAAGGAAUGGGGGUGGCUUCUAGAAGCUGGAAAAGGCAAAGGAGCACAUUCUGUCUAGAGCCUCCCCCAGAAGGAAUGCAGCCUCUCUGACACCUUGACUUUAGCCUUAAUAGACCUAGUUGGGCUUCUGGCCCCCAGAACUGUAAGAUGGUAGAUUUGUGGUGUUUGAUGCCACUAAAUGUAGGGUACUUUGUUGUAGCAACAACAAAAAAUGAACACGAAGCUGGGACCUCAUGUUACAGUUGCUCACGCCUGUAAUCCCAGAACUUUAGGAGGC